rnacentral:rRNA from 1 species
GCCUUGCAGGGGUUGGAUUAGUGGCGAACGGGUGAGUAUCACGUGAGUAACCUUCCCUUGACUCUGGGAUAAGCCCGGGAAACUGGGUCUAAUACUGGAUAUGACCUUCCAUCGCAUGGUGGAAGGUGGAAAGAUUUAUCGGUCUUGGAUGGACUCGCGGCCUAUCAGCUUGUUGGUGAGGUAAUGGCUCACCAAGGCGACGACGGGUAGCCGGCCUGAGAGGGUGACCGGCCACACUGGGACUGAGACACGGCCCAGACUCCUACGGGAGGCAGCAGUGGGGAAUAUUGCACAAUGGGCGCAAGCCUGAUGCAGCGACGCCGCGUGAGGGAUGACGGCCUUCGGGUUGUAAACCUCUUUCAGUAGGGAAGAAGCCUUUUAGGUGACGGUACCUGCAGAAGAAGCGCCGGCUAACUACGUGCCAGCAGCCGCGGUAAUACGUAGGGCGCGAGCGUUAUCCGGAAUUAUUGGGCGUAAAGAGCUCGUAGGCGGUUUGUCGCGUCUGCUGUGAAAGCCCGGGGCUUAACUCCGGGUGUGCAGUGGGUACGGGCAGACUAGAGUGCAGUAGGGGAGACUGGAAUUCCUGGGUGUAGCGGUGAAAUGCGCAGAUAUCAGGAGGAACACCGAUGGGCGAAGGCAGGUCUCUGGGGCUGUUACUGACGCUGAGGAGCGAAAGCAUGGGGGAGCGAACAGGAUUAGAUACCCCUGGUAGUCCAUGCCGUAAACGUUGGGCACUAAGU